rnacentral:rRNA from 1 species
UACAGGGGGUGCAAACGUUGCUCGGAAUUAUUGGGCGUAAAGCGCGCGUAGGCGGCUACUUAAGUCGGAUGUGAAAGCCCUUGGCUCAACUGAGGAAGUGCACCCGAAACUGAGUGGCUUGAGUACUAAAGAGGGUCGCGGAAUUCCCGGUGUAGAGGUGAAAUUCGUAGAUAUCGGGAAGAACACCCGUGGCGAAGGCGGCUCUCUGGGACGGUACUGACGCUGAGACGCGAAAGCGUGGGGAGCGAACAGG